rnacentral:ncRNA from 1 species
UGAAAUUCUCAGGGCAGGGUGAAAGUCCCUACCGGCGGUAUGUCUUUUUAGAUGAGCCCGCGAGCGCUCGAUUCGUCGAGGUCAGCAGAUCUGGUGAGAUGCCAGAGCCGACGGUUAUAGUCCGGAUGAGAGAGAAUGAGU